GGAAAUUUGAAUUAGCAUUAAAUAUUUUUUAUAUUUCUAAUUCUCAUUAUGUUUAUUUUAUAGUUCCCAUGCAUGUUUUUAAUAUUUGCAACUCUUCCGUUUUUCUUAAUUGUCUAUUUAAACAGACUUUUGUAUUGAGAAGUUCAAGUUUGAAUAUUAUUUAAAGUCUUUGAGUUUGAGUUA